rnacentral:lncRNA from 1 species
CUGGGGUAGUCCAUGAGCGCCGCCCGCCGCCCUCUCUAUCGGCGCUCGGCACACGAGCACCCACCCGGGAAGAGAAGAAUUGGGAGGCUCACAGGGCGCCUCGGCAUGGGGAGGUGGAGAGGUGUCCCCUGGAUAAACUCCUCUCCGAGGUGGAGCUUCUGGGGCUUGGAGAGUGAAGUGUGGGGAAGGGGAAGAGAGUGUGCAUGUUGCACUUUGAUUUCAUGCAGAAUCCUGGGAGGAGAAAAGUGCAAGGUUUCCCUCUCUGAAUGCACGAGCCCCUCGGUUUCAGCUCUCAGGGACGCAUUCCGAUAAUCCGGUCAUUGACUAGUGGGGAUUCCACCCAGCGCGCAGGACGACGUCCGCGCUGCGAGGCCCCCAGCCUGCCUCUUCCUGGGACCCUAAACUUGGGCUCUGAUGCCCCGCCAGUAACGGCGGUCCCUGCUACCCGGCGGCGACUGACAGCUGAGUGCAAAGGCGCGGCGGCCGGCGGCCGCGGUCCGAGAGGAGCAGCCCCGGGUGCGGACGCCGCGGGCAGGGAGGAGGCCGCCUGGCCUGGCGCGGGGAUCGCGUGCUGGGGGCUCCGGGCGCCCGGGUCUGGCGGGUCCGGCGGGUCCGGGAGCAGGGCCGUGGGUCUGACAGCUGCUCCGGUUCGCGCGGACACGCGCCUCCCUCCAGCCCGCCCUCCCCACGCCUGACUUAUUACCCUCUGCUCCUCCUCCUCCUGCUGUUCCAAAACACCCGUCGACGCGAGCAAAAUACAAUACCGCCUCGCCCGCCGUAAACAGCCAGGCGAGGGAGCGCACAUUCGCCGCGGCGCGUCCGCCGGCUCGGCUCCCACCCGCUUCCCGUUCCUAGAAAAUGCCAUAAAAGCAGCCAGGGCGCUCGGCGGACGGCUGCGCGCCCCGCGGCCGCGGCUCCCCGCCGGCGCCGCUUCCCCACGCCUCCCCGCCUGCCCCGCGCCCCCCGCAAACUUGCCCCGCCGCCCCGCCCAGUGCCGGGCCCGGGGCCCGGGGCCGGGGACUCACCUCGCCAGAGAACUUUGCGUCCUUUUCCGCCUCCUCUUCCCCGCGUCGUCCCAGCCCGCAGCCCCCUCCCGGCAGCCGGCGCGGUGGGCGGUUCGGGGGUCACCGAAAGCUCGCGGAGAGGACGCGCAUCACAUGGCAGCUCGUUCCCAGCCCCCCGAGUGUGCCGAGGAGGGGGAGGGGAAGGGUCGAGGGGAGGCCGGGGAGAAAGCGAGAGCCCGGCGGCAGCGGGAGUAGGCAGGCGGGGUGGUGAGGGCGGCGGCGGGCGCUCACGUUAGCGCUGCUGCGGCCGCAGCCCGGGCGCGCACGGUCGCUGCUGCUGCUGCUGCUGCUGAGGCGGCGGCAGCUCGGCGCUGUUUGCUCCUCGCCGCGCGGCUCGCGCUCUCCCCGGAACGCCCACACUCUCAAUCGCUACAUUGUUGACAUUCGGCGCUGACGUCACCCACUCCCCAUUCACAAUAACUUUACGGGAGCCGGGCAGCGCACCUCCCCGGCCGCUGGGGCGCCGUACGCCCGGCGACUGGCGUAAGCCGCUCCGCGAAUGGCGCUCCGGGGGCUGGGGCGGGGGGCGGGCGCGCGCUCCGCCGGCUCGCGGGAGGGGGCGCGCCUCACGCCGCCGCCGCCGCCGCUCUCCCUGCUUUGUGCGGCCGCGCGGCCGGGAGAGCCUCCUGCUCCGGGCCAGGCUCACAAGCUGCCUCGGUCGGGCCGUGAGGGCCUCUGCCUGUCCCACUGAGCGAGCCUUUGAGCCCUCACGCCAGCGUUUUAGAAGGGGCGCGAGCAAUUGGGAAAGCCAGCCAUGGCCGCCCAGCGCAGAUGGCGUUGGGCACAGCAAAGAGGGGGAAGAGGAAGGUGCUACUGCAAGCUGAUCUCGCCACCUUACUUCUUGUCGCAGAUGGAUGUGACAAAGGCUGAGAUCACCACAGUUCCUAAGAAGGACUUUGGAAACAGUCCUUAAAAGGAAACGAUGUUCUUACAUCGCUAUCUAUAGUGACAUAGCCCAAGAUCUGCUUCUACAGUAAAGAAUUGAUGCCACUAUUAUCUAAAAUUUAAGUGAAAUAAACUAAUUCUUCAACAUGCACAAUUGAAUAUCUAUUGUGUUGAUG